GGGGGUGUUUUGGCUUCGACAGCAAAUUGUAUCGGAGCGUAAGCAUGCCGAGCGUUGUGAGAGUGGCUCGUAAAUCCCAAUUCACAAGCCAUAAUUGGCGAAACUUCUUAUGCACUCGCUGCGUAGUCUGCUAAGCACACUGCGCUUCAUCACGCCGGCCAAGGUUGCCGGUGCGACGAGUAUCCCGCUUCGUGGUUCGGCCCUUUAAUAACGGAGCAUAUGGGGUAUCAUCCUUUGGGGCUGGUUGCGCCGACGCCGUUAUAGCGCAACAAGAAUUUAGCGGCUAAGAAACAAAUAGGUUGCUUUUGUCCGGUUUGUUUACGAAAAACAAUCAAAAGAUAAGCAUGUAGAAAGCGUUUGGAUGGUUUGUUUGGACACGGGUUCGAUUCCCGUCACCUCCACCA
rnacentral:tmRNA from 1 species